rnacentral:rRNA from 1 species
UACGUAGGGGGCAAGCGUUGUCCGGAUUUAUUGGGCGUAAAGAGCGUGUAGGCGGCCCGACAGGUCCGUUGUGAAAACUCGAGGCUCAACCUCGAGACGUCGAUGGAAACCGUCGGGCUAGAGUCCGGAAGAGGAGAGUGGAAUUCCUGGUGUAGCGGUGGAAUGCGCAGAUAUCAGGAGGAACACCGAUGGCGAAGGCAGCUCGCUGGGACGGUACUGACGCUGAGGCGCGAAAGCGUGGGGAGCGAACAGG